rnacentral:rRNA from 1 species
GACGAACGCUGGCGGCGUGCUUAACACAUGCAAGUUGAGCGGUCCGGCAUGGAAGCUUGCUGAAGUGUCGGGUAGUAGCGGACGGGUGAGUAAUGCAUGAGAAGCUGCCAUUGGGAGGGGGACAACAGUUGGAAACGGCUGCUAAUACCCCAUAUGCCGGAAGGUGAAACGGAGUGAUCCGCCCGAUGAGGUGCUCAUGUCCAAUCAGCUUGUUGGUGAGGUAACGGCUCACCAAGGCGACGACGGGUAGCCGGCCUGAGAGGGUGACUGGCCACACUGGAACUGAGAUACGGUCCAGACUCCUACGGGAGGCAGCAGUGGGGAAUAUUGGGCAAUGGGGGCAACCCUGACCCAGCGACGCCGCGUGAGGGAAGACGGCCUUCGGGUUGUAAACCUCUUUUGUACGGGAAGAAGGAUGUGACGGUACCGUGCGAAUAAGUCCCGGCUAACUACGUGCCAGCCGCCGCAGUAAUAC